rnacentral:rRNA from 1 species
GUUCCUACGGGACGCAGCAGUGGGGAAUAUUGCACAAUGGGGGAAACCCUGAUGCAGCGAUGCCGCGUGGAGGAAGAAGGUUUUCGGAUUGUAAACUCCUUUUAUCAGGGACGAUAAUGACGGUACCCCUUUAGGAAGCCACGGCUAACUACGUGCCAGCAGCCGCGGUAAUACGUAGGUGGCGAGCGUUGUCCGGAAUUACUGGGUGUAAAGGGAGUGUAGGCGGGAAAGCAAGUCAGAAGUGAAAACUAUGGGCUUAACCCAUAGCCUGCUUUUGAAACUGUUUUUCUUGAGUGAAGUAGAGG